CACCGACGGACAGAGCAUUAGACUGGAAUUUAUUGGAGUCUGUAACAAUCUGAAUGGAGAAUGUGUGGGAUUUUAAGCUUCAUGUUGGCUGAACCUAUCGACAGUGAUCUGGAAGAGAAAGCUUUGGGAAGGGAUAUAUUCUGGAUAAAGUUGCUUGGAUUGAUCCUGUCAAUGUAUCUGUGCAAGAAUGUGGAACAAGAAGACUAUCUCAAAGUCCCUAAGUACUGACAUACCUGAGCUGCUCUCUGUCCUCCCGCCAAUGGCACAUCCAGCUGUGUAUGGGAUACAUCAGUGUCCAAUCAUAAUCCAAUGGAUUUGCUGAAUUUAUGUAUUUGCUUCACUGCUUGCCAACUUUGCCUUAUAAAUCUAAGCACUUUAGUUCUAAACUGUUGAUCAGUAUACAUUUUGUAAAGAUAACGUUUUCUACUUUACAGAACUUUUAGCAUGGCAUCUUCUUAAGGAGCUGUUGUCAUCAUGAUAUGAGCAUUAAAAUGAUGAUUACCCCAAGGUUUUGUUAAGAGUCUGUAUGAGAAAGCUGGGGCUAGAGUGAUGGGACGUGCCUUUGGCAAGUGUGCGGUACGAUGUAAAACUGAUUCCUUCUCCAGUCAGAGAGAAAUUCUGUUGAGCUGAUGGCUCUGCUCCUCCCCGUUGGCCCAAUGAAUCAUUCUUCUGUAAAACACCAAUUUUCUCUUGAAGUUUUUAAAGUAAGUAUGUUGAAUCAUUACAUUGAAAAUGUAACACAAACUGUGGUCUGUUCAGAUCUUCCAACCUCAGUAAAUAUGUUUCAAAAAACCAAA